rnacentral:rRNA from 1 species
UACGUAGGGUGCGAGCGUUAAUCGGAAUUACUGGGCGUAAAGCGUGCGCAGGCGGUUUUGUAAGCCAGAUGUGAAAUCCCCGGGCUUAACCUGGGAAUGGCAUUUGGGACUGCAAGGCUUGAGUUUGGCAGAGGAGACUGGAAUUCCUGGUGUAGCAGUGAAAUGCGUAGAUAUCAGGAGGAAUACCGAUGCGAAUGGCAGGUCUCUGGGCAUAGACUGGACUCU